AUUGAACGCUGGCGGCAUGCCUUACACAUGCAAGUCGAACGGCAGCACGGGAGCAAUCCUGGUGGCGAGUGGCGAACGGGUGAGUAAUACAUCGGAACGUGCCCAAUCGUGGGGGGAUAACUACGCGAAAGCGUAGCUAAUACCGCAUACGAUCUACGGAUGAAAGCAGGGGAUCGCAAGACCUUGCGCGAAUGGAGCGGCCGAUGGCAGAUAGGUAGUUGGUGAGGUAAAGGCUCACCAAGCCUUCGAUCUGUAGCUGGUCUGAGAGGACGACCAGCCACACUGGGACUGAGACACGGCCCAGACUCCUACGGGAGGCAGCAGUGGGGAAUUUUGGACAAUGGGCGCAAGCCUGAUCCAGCCAUGCCGCGUGCAGGAUGAAGGCCUU
rnacentral:rRNA from 1 species